rnacentral:tRNA from 1 species
CCUGGUGGCUCAGAGGGUAAAGCGUCUGCCUGCAAUGCAGGAGACCUGGGUUCGAUCCCUGGAUCAGGA